GCGCACCAGGCGAGAAACCUCCGCAAUGCUCGAAAGAGCGACGGGGGACUCCAAGUGCCUACGCUCAGCGUAGGCUGUUCCCGAGCCUAAAAGCUCGGGGAGUAAGGGCUGGGUAAGACGGGUGCCAGCCGCCGCGGUAAUACCUGCAGCUCAAGUGGUGGCCGCUAUUAUUGGGCCUAAAACGUCCGUAGCCGGUCUAGUAAAUGCCUGGGUAAAUCGUGAGGCUUAACCUUACGAAUUCCGGGUAGACUGCUAGACUUGAGACCGGGGAGAGGCUAGAGGUACUCCUGGGGUAGAGGUGAAAUUCUGUAAUCCUAGGGGGACCACCAGUGGCGAAGGCGUCUAGCUAGAACGGGUCUGACGGUGAGGGGACGAAGCCCUGGGGCGCAAACCGGAUUAGAUACCCG
rnacentral:rRNA from 1 species